CAGCGUCACGAGUGGCAACCGUAUUUAUUGGGUCUAAAGCGUCCGUAGCCUGUUUGAUAAGUCUUUUGUGAAAUCGUUGCGCUUAACGUAACGCUGUGCAAGAGAUACUGUCAAACUUGGAAUAGGGAAGAGUCAGAGGUAUUUUGGGGGGAGCGGUAAAAUGCUAUAAUCCUCAGAGGACCACCAGUGGCGAAAGCGUCUGACUAGAACAACUUCGACGGUGAGGGACGAAAGCCAGGGGAGCAAAACGGAUUAGAGACCCGAGUAGUCC
rnacentral:rRNA from 1 species